AGAGUUUGAUCAUGGCUCAGAUUGAACGCUGGCGGCAGGCCUAACACAUGCAAGUCGAGCGGUAGCACGGGAGAGCUUGCUCUCUGGGUGACGAGCGGCGGACGGGUGAGUAAUGUCUGGGAAACUGCCUGAUGGAGGGGGAUAACUACUGGAAACGGUAGCUAAUACCGCAUAACGUCUUCGGACCAAAGUGGGGGACCUUCGGGCCUCACGCCAUCAGAUGUGCCCAGAUGGGAUUAGCUAGUAGGUGGGGUAAUGGCUCACCUAGGCGACGAUCCCUAGCUGGUCUGAGAGGAUGACCAGCCACACUGGAACUGAGACACGGUCCAGACUCCUACGGGAGGCAGCAGUGGGGAAUAUUGCACAAUGGGCGCAAGCCUGAUGCAGCCAUGCCGCGUGUGUGAAGAAGGCCUUCGGGUUGUAAAGCACUUUCAGCGAGGAGGAAGGGNCAUUGACGUUACUCGCAGAAGAAGCACCGGCUAACUCCGUGCCAGCAGCCGCGGUAAUACGGAGGGUGCAAGCGUUAAUCGGAAUUACUGGGCGUAAAGCGCACGCAGGCGGUUUGUUAAGUCAGAUGUGAAAUCCCCGCGCUUAACGUGGGAACUGCAUUUGAAACUGGCAAGCUAGAGUCUCGUAGAGGGGGGUAGAAUUCCAGGUGUAGCGGUGAAAUGCGUAGAGAUCUGGAGGAAUACCGGUGGCGAAGGCGGCCCCCUGGACGAAGACUGACGCUCAGGUGCGAAAGCGUGGGGAGCAAACAGGAUUAGAUACCCUGGUAGUCCACGCUGUAAACGAUGUCGAUUUGGAGGUUGUGCCCUUGAGGCGUGGCUUCCGGAGCUAACGCGUUAAAUCGACCGCCUGGGGAGUACGGCCGCAAGGUUAAAACUCAAAUGAAUUGACGGGGGCCCGCACAAGCGGUGGAGCAUGUGGUUUAAUUCGAUGCAACGCGAAGAACCUUACCUACUCUUGACAUCCAGAGAACUUUCCAGAGAUGGAUUGGUGCCUUCGGGAACUCUGAGACAGGUGCUGCAUGGCUGUCGUCAGCUCGUGUUGUGAAAUGUUGGGUUAAGUCCCGCAACGAGCGCAACCCUUAUCCUUUGUUGCCAGCGAUUCGGUCGGGAACUCAAAGGAGACUGCCGGUGAUAAACCGGAGGAAGGUGGGGAUGACGUCAAGUCAUCAUGGCCCUUACGAGUAGGGCUACACACGUGCUACAAUGGCGUAUACAAAGAGAAGCGANGCGAGAGUAAGCGGACCUCAUAAAGUACGUCGUAGUCCGGAUUGGAGUCUGCAACUCGACUCCAUGAAGUCGGAAUCGCUAGUAAUCGUAGAUCAGAAUGCUACGGUGAAUACGUUCCCGGGCCUUGUACACACCGCCCGUCACACCAUGGGAGUGGGUUGCAAAAGAAGUAGGUAGCUUAACCUUCGGGAGGGCGCUUACCACUUUGUGAUUCAUGACUGGGGUGAAGUCGUAACAAGGUAACCGUAGGGGAACCUGCGGUUGGAUCACCU
rnacentral:rRNA from 1 species